rnacentral:rRNA from 1 species
UGGGGAAUAUUGCACAAUGGGCGCAAGCCUGAUGCAGCCAUGCCGCGUGUAUGAAGAAGGCCUUCGGGUUGUAAAGUACUUCAGCGAGGAGGAAGGCAUUAAGGUUAAUAACCUUAGUGAUUGACGUUACUCGCAGAAGAAGCACCGGCUAACUCCGUGCCAGCAGCCGCGGUAAUACGGAGGGUGCAAGCGUUAAUCGGAAUUACUGGGCGUAAAGCGCACGCAGGCGGUCUGUUAAGUCAGAUGUGAAAUCCCCGGGCUCAACCUGGGAACUGCAUUUGAAACUGGCAGGCUUGAGUCUUGUAGAGGGGGGUAGAAUUCCAGGUGUAGCGGUGAAAUGCGUAGAGAUCUGGAGGAAUACCGGUGGCGAAGGCGGCCCCCUGGACAAAGACUGACGCUCAGGUGCGAAAGCGUGGGGAGCAAACAGG